ensembl:lncRNA
AUGUUCGUUGAGGUAAACCUUCGUGCCCUUCAAUUUCCUCCCUUGUCUCAACAGCGCGACUUUGUGUUUGUGGUUCACAAAGCGCACAAUGAUGGCAGGAGGCCCAAGGAUCGUAGAAUGACGCUUCUUAGGGAUUGGGUCUCUAUCUCCAGUGCAUUAGCAUCGAGGACUCCUGCCUCUGGAUCCGCCACCCUCGCAUAGGUACGGUGUUUCGUUUCCAAGCCAGUUAUAAUGAGGUCGUUCAUUCUCGUGUGCUGCUCAAGAUCAUCGAUUCGUUUCUCCAACAUAGCUAUUUUCUCAUCUUUCUUCAUCAGUAACAUCUUAAGCGACUGAAUAUCAGCUGACAAUUUCUCAUUCAAUGCCGUCAAGUUUUCCUGUUUAGUUACGUUUCUCAGCGUUAAGUUGAUCAGUUCCAAUUGUUCCUCCACUCUUUUCAUCUGUGCAAUCGUGGGCCCCCCCAUACUUGCUUAGGUUAUUUUCAAAAAUGUAAUUAGUAUGAUAGAUUAAUGUGGUGAAAUACCAAAGCCAGAGCUCCAUUCAACAGCUGAGCUGCGUGCCGCCAUCUUUGUAUCGCCAUCUUUGUAUUUUAAAGCAAAGAUCACUGUUAUUAGCCAUACUUAGGGUUAGUGACUUGAACAAUCCGCAUAACUACGCAUUUAUUAUCCCUCAAAUCAUGUGCUUCAUUGUGGAGAGGUUUACUAGGACUUUUCUAAGUGGUCAGACUUAAAAGCAAGAAAACCCCUUAGACUUACACUGAAAAUAGGCUCCAUACAUAUCUACAGAACAGAACAGAAUUUAGUUAUUGGCUCAUUUCAAACAAGCCCACAAGUCUCUCUCUCUCUCUAUAUAUAUAUAUAUACAGGUGCAUCUCAAUAAAUUAGAAUGUCGUGGAAAAGUUCAUUUAUUUCAGUAAUUCAACUCAAAACUCAAAAACUUGUGUAUUAAAUAAAUUCAAUGCACACAGACUGAAGUAGUUUAAGUCUUUAGUUCUUUUAAUUGUGAUGAUUUUGGCUCACAUUUAACAAAAACCCACCAAUUCACUAUCUCAACAAAUUAGAAUACUUCAUAAGACCAAAAAAAAAAAAUUAGUGAAUUGUUGGCCUUCUGGGAAGUAUGUUCAUUUACUGUACAUGUACUCAAUACUUGGUAGGGGCUCCUUUUGCUUUAAUUACUGCCUCAACUCGGCGUGGCAUGAAGGUGAUCAGUUUGUGGCACUGCUGAGGUGGUGUGGAAGCCCAGGUUUCUUUGACAGUGGCCUUCAGCUCAU